UACGUAGGGGGCAAGCGUUGUCCGGAUUUAUUGGGCGUAAAGAGCGUGUAGGCGGCUAGAUAGGUCCGUUGUGAAAACUCGAGGCUCAACCUCGAGACGCCGGUGGAAACCAUCUAGCUAGAGUCCGGAAGAGGAGAGUGGAAUUCCUGGUGUAGCGGUGAAAUGCGCAGAUAUCAGGAAGAACACCAAUUGCGAAGGCAGCUCGCUGGGACGUUACUGACGCUGAGACGCGAAAGCGUGGGGAGCAAACAGG
rnacentral:rRNA from 1 species